rnacentral:rRNA from 1 species
GAUCCUGGCUCAGGAUGAACGCUAGCUACAGGCUUAACACAUGCAAGUCGAGGGGCAGCGGGAUUGAAGCUUGCUUCAAUUGCCGGCGACCGGCGCACGGGUGAGUAACGCGUAUCCAACCUUCCGUACACUCAGGGAUAGCCUUUCGAAAGAAAGAUUAAUGCCCGAUGGUUUCAAGGGAUUGCAUGGUAUCUUGAAUAAAGAUUCAUCGGUAUGCGAUGGGGAUGCGUUCCA